rnacentral:lncRNA from 1 species
CUUUGUCUUUUUAAGGCCACACCCACAGCAUACGGAGGUUUCCAGGCUAGGGAUCUAAUCAGAGCUGUUGCUGCCGUCCUACACCAGAGCCACAGCAACGCCAGAUCUGAGCCACGUCUGUGACCUACACCACAGCUCAUGGCAACGCUGGAUCCUUAACCCACUGAGCGAGGCCAUGAGGGCUGCUCCCACCGAAACCUCAUGGUUCCUAGUCAGAUGUGUUUUCACUACACCAAGACGGGAACUCCAGAUGCAAAUCUUGACUUUACCACUUACUGUGUGAUCUUGAAGUGUUAGUUUACCUCUCUGGGCCUCAGUUUGCUUUUUUGUAAGUUGGGGAUAAAAUAGUACAAUAGAAGCAAUUUUAUCAAACACAGUGUGGUCUGUUAAUUGGAAAAGUAAAAAUGAGGAGUCAUGAAAUAAAUGAUAUAUGGUUUAUUAGCACUCUACUACAUUUUAAAAACCUACUACUACUUAGUGGCUUAAAACUGACAAAUAUUUAUUUGUCACAUUCUGGAUGGUAGCUGAUGGUUUCUCUGGUCUGAGCCAGUUUGACUGGACUAGGUGCUCUAGGAUGGCCUCAUUCCUGCAUCUAGAGUCUACACUAGUAUGAUUGAGCUCUCCAUUUGACCACUCAGUUUCAAGGAGGACAGCUUGAGCAUGUUCACCUGGUGGCAGUAGGUUCCCAGCAGCAAGAGAUGUCAAGCCCCAGUGCACAUGCCUUUCAAGCAUCCUGCAGUGUGAUGUUUGCUAAUGUUCCAUGGGCCAAAGAAAAUCACAAGGUCAAGUCCAGAUAGACGGCCAGGGAAGGGGAGACACAGACUUUACCUUUGAUGGAGAUGAACAGCAGGGUCACACGGCACACUGACCUGCGUUGUAGGAGGAAUAAUGUGGUCAUUUUUAUAAACAGUCUACCACAUCACAUCUCAUACAUUUUAAUUUAAAAUAUUUGUGCACCAGAGUUCCCAUCAUGGCUCAGUGGAAAUGAAUCCAACUAGUAUUCAUGAGGAUGCAGGUUCAAUCCCUGGCCUUACUCAGUGGGUUAGGGAUCCUGCAUUGCUGUGAACUGUGGUGUAGGUCACAGACAUGGCUCAGAUCCCACGUUGCUGUGGAUGUGGCUUAGGUGGGCAGCUGUGGCUCUGAUUUGACCCCUAGCCAGGGAACUUCCAUAUGCCAGAGGUGCGGCCCUAAAAAGCAAAAAAAUGAAUGAAUGAAUGAAUAAAUAAAAUAUUUGUUCACCUUUGACAUGGACUCAAGUAUAGCUACAUGGACGGUAAGAACAACUGAUUCUUGGUGACUGUACAGCUCACCUAGUGGGCAUCCUGGAGCAGGCCAAGGCAUCAGUCAGUCAGGUCCCCAGAGGGGAUUAAGAGCCUCAGUUUAGUGGCAGUUACUAAAGAGCUUCUACUGUACCAGCCUAGUAGAGCUGUAUCGAGGGUUAGUUGUGAAAAUACCCUUAACAUGCUUAGGACACUUCUUUAGUUCCUGUAAAUGCUCAGUAAUGUUAGUUGUUCUCAUUAUUACACAAUCAUUCAUGUGGUUAUUGUUGUUGCUGUUAUUAAUCAGUCUAAGGUAAAACCUUGGUAUAGGAUAGAAAUGGCAUAAGGAAUAAUAAAAAUGCCAGACCCAGUACCAUCAAGUGGUAAUUGAGAGGAAACAAUGAAGGUAGAAAGGGAGGAUCAAGCCAGGGAUUUAUAAAACUGAUAUAAGAGAACCUAGAAGAUGGAGCAGUAGGAAAUGGGUGAUUCAGACAAGGAGCCUGGAGAAGCAGGCAUGUUAGUCUUAGUUAACAAUUAUAAUUUUGGAGUUCUGGUCAUGGCUCAGCAGAAAUGAAUCUGACUGGUAUCCAUGAGGACACAGGUUCAGUCCCUCGCCCCUCUCAGUGGGUUAAGAAUCGAGCGUUGCUGUGAGCUGUGGUGUAGGGUUGCUACACCAGAUCUGUGUGGCUGUGGCACAGGAGAGCAGCUACAGCUCCAAUUCAACCCCUAGACUGGGAACCUCCAUGUGCUGCAAGUGCAGCCCUAAAAAGAAAAAAAAAAAAAAAAAAGAAUUAUAAUUUCAACAUACGUAUUUGAAGCAUGAUGAUUUAGGAGAAUGCUUCCUAAGUUCUGGUUCAGAGACUGGUUGCUCGUCCCUGGGGAGCUUGUUAAAAAUGUAGAAAUUGUAAUUCCUGAGCCAAUAGGUUUAAGAACCUAUAUUACUAAAAGCUGUUCAGGUAGAUUUGAAUGCACAUUCAGGCUUGGGAAGCCAUGAAAACAUAGAGCACUGGAAGUCAGGAAACUUGGACUGUAGUUCUGGGUCUGGAAUAGACUUGCUAUGUGACCUCUGUCUUGCAGAUCUAGAGAGAUGAAAUUUUGAGAUGUGUUUAAUCCCUUGUAGACCCCUCGAUGCAUGUAAGGGGUGAUUAUUAGUAUUUCAGCAGGUACUCUCUGUGUUUGAGACCAGGCCCAUCAAUCAAGGUUCCUCCACCUCAUAUGCCAAGCAAGGGACUUGGCCCACUUUAUCUAAAAAUCCUUCCCAUUGGUUCAACAACUAUAGAAGACAACAUGGAGGUUCCCCAAAAUACAAAAAAUAGAGUUGCCAUAUGAUCCAGCAGUCCCACUCCUGGUGCAAAAAUUAUAGUUUUUACUCAGGCAAAACUAUAAUUUGAAAAGAUACAUGCACCCCUGUGUUCAUGGCAACACUAUUUUCAAUAGCCAAGACAUAGAAACAAUUUAAAUGCACAUCAGCAGAUAAACGGAUAAGGAUGUGGUGUAUAUAUACAUAUAUAAAAUGGAAUAUUACUCAGCCAUUAAAAAGAAAUAACACCAUUUGCAGAAACUAGGGUGGACCUAGAGAUUAUCUUACUAAGUCAAGUAAGUCAUAAAGAGAAAGACAAAUACCAUAUGAUAUCACUUAUAUGUAGAAUCUAAAAUGUGAUAUAAAUCAACAAAUCAGUGAAACAAAAAGAUUCACAGAUAUAGACAACAGAUUUGUGGUUACCAAAGGGGAGAGGGAUAGAGGAGAGGGAAGGACUGGGAGUUUUGGAUUAGCAGAAACAAACUAUUAUAUAUAGGAUGAAUAAACAAUAGGUCCUACUUUAUAGCACAGGGAAUUAUAUCCAAUAUUCUGUGAUGAGCCAUGAUGGAAAAGAAUAUGCAAAUGGAUAUAUUUGUAUAGCUGAGUCAUUUUGCCAUACAGGGAAAACUAACACAGUAUUGUAAACCAACUAUACUUCAAUAAAAUUUGUAAAAAUAAUUUAAAAUCCCUUCUAGCUGUAAAAUUUUAUAAGUAUGAUUUGUUUUCUGUUUUGUAGACACCAAAUUUCUAUAUGUUGAUGUGGAUUCUCAUGGAUUGUGCUUCUGCAAUUUUCAUUGUUGCCAUAUUUUAUUUUCAUUGGUAAGCAUAACUGAUUUUCCCUGAAAUAGAAAUAUAAGUGAUUUUUGUGGAAAUUUGAGAAAAAAGCAGCUACAUUCUUCCCAUAGUCCCACAUGGCAAAUCCUCAGGGAGACAGGGUUUUAUCGUCUGAUGCUACCUGAAGCAGCCUGCAGCUCCUCACACACCAUCUACCUACUCAACAUGAGACUAUAUUUGAAGGACAAGGAUUCUCACUAAAGCUUAAUCUAAGCCUGUUACUACAGAUUUCAAUGCAGAUCAACCGGAAGAGGACAGGGGCUGAAGGUUCUUCACAAAAGUGCCUCCAAAUCUCCCCACCUUCCACACAAUUGCACAUAGUGGAGUGCUGUGUAAAGAGCAAGUUGACAAACCAUGGUUUUAGUCCUGGCUUUGCCCUUAGUUUCUGAGUGAUCCUGGGAUAAUCAGUGCCCCUUUCCAGGCCAUAGUCUUUUCAUCUGUCCGAGAAAAUGACAUUUGAGAAUUCUUGAGAGAAUAUGCUAUAAGAUUGCAAGGUUCAAGGUGGGAGAGGAGACAUCUGGUAGAAGAAUUCGACCUAUAAGAGACCUUGGUUGUUUAAAUCUCAUCAUGUCCAUCAUUUCUUCAUUUGAAGUGUCCUUUAAAGGAGGAAACCACACACCCUCUCCUUAAAGGAGAAUUUGACUGGACAAUGUUCUUUUACAGUCUUUGCCUUGAAUUACUGCCAUUUUUGGAAGAGGUCUAUAUGGUUGAUGGAUAGUCUGCUUCCUUCUAGGUGGAGAGAGAGCCAAAGUGAAAAAAUCCUCAGAGGUAUCAGCAGUUAUGCAGGUAAAGUCAGAGGCCUCAUGGACUCCCAUCUCUUCCUCCCUACCCAUUGCCUCAGGAUACAGGCAUUGUUUUUGACAAGAGUUGAAGGAGUCUGAAUUUGAGAGUGGGGACCAGUGAGAAAUUGGGACCAAUAAACUAAGCACAGAUUCUGGAGGGCCCUUGAUAUCACUCUUCAUUUUGGACUUUAUUGUCUAAGCAAUGAGACUCCUUGUAAGCUUUUGAACAUGGAUGAUUUUUUGUUGUUGUUCGCUUGUUCAUAUAUUCACUUAUCACAGUUAUUGAGUACCAGCUUUGUGAUAGCCACUUUCUUUGUCCUCACACAGCCUUUCUUCUGUGUACCCACACACACCCUCAGUAUCUCCUGUGUGUCCAAAUUUUCUCUUCUAUGCUCAGACUGGAUCAGGGCUCAUGACAGUGGCCUCAUUUUAAUCAUGUCUUUAAAGGCUUUAUUUCCUACAUUAGUAACAUAUUGAAGUGCUGGUGGUUAAGGCUUGACCAUAUGAAAUUGUGGGGUAUACAAGUCAGGU